rnacentral:lncRNA from 1 species
GACGAAACUCUGCCAACUCAAUCAACUCUCCAAAACCCCAAUGGGCACACUUACACACACACACACACACACACGCACGCACGCACACACACACACACACACACACAUUGACCACCACAGUCAAAGGCUGCCUCAGCAAUAUCCGCCAACCAGUGACCUCUGACCUUUUUGUACUUCCUCCCAUAUGUAGGUUAAACCUCAAAGGAUCGUACUGUGCACACACACACACACGCUCACGCAAUCACACACACGCACACACUCACGCAAUCACACACACACACACUCUCACGCAAUCACACACACACACUCACGCAAUCACACACACGCACACACUCACGCAAUCACACACACACACUCAUGCAAUCACACACACGCACACACUCACACAAUCACACACCCACACUCACGCAAUCACACACACGCACACACUCACGCAAUCACACACACGCACACAUUCACGCAAUCACACACACGCACACACUCACGCAAUCACACACACGCACACACUCACGCAAUCUCACACACGCACACACUCACGCAAUCACACACACGCACACACUCACGCAAUCACACACACGCACACACGCACACACUCAUGCAAUCACACACACACACUCACGCAAUCACACACACGCACACACUCACGCAAUCACACACACACACUCACACAAUCACACACACACACACACACACACACACACUCACACCCUCACACCAUCACACACGCGCACAAAAAAACACGCAUAUACUCAUGCUUGCACUCUCACAUAGAAAUACCAGAUGGCACACACACACACAUGCACAGAGGCAUAUUAAUUGAAAGAAAUAUUCACAUAUUCACACAAGUACACACAUAUACAUACACACACACACACACACACACACACACACACACACACACACACACACACACACACACACACACACACUGGCAACACAUGAGGACAGAAACACACUCCAGUUGUGAGAUUUGACAAACUGCACCCCACUCAGUAGGAAACAUGUGGGCAUUUAUAUCCACUGCAAUCCCAGGGACGCAACUCAGCAUAGCUACGGCAUUUGUACAGUAUAAACAUUUUGGAUGAUUAUAUAUAAUUACUGUGGAGCGCAAACUCUCUCUCUCUCUCACACACACACACACACACACACACACACACACACCACACACAUACAGAGUCACUCUGAUAUAUGCCAUGCUCAAUGAUUCCUAUAUAGGAAGGGAAA